rnacentral:rRNA from 1 species
UCGAGGGGCAGCGCUGGGUAGCAAUACCCUGGCGGCGACCGGCGAAAGGGUGAGUAACGCGUGAGCAACGUGCCCGUAUGUGGGGGAUAGUCGAUGGAAACGUCGCGUAAUACCCCAUAACACAUUUUCCCGCAUGGGGGAAUGUUGAAAGAGUUAUUGCAUACGGAUCGGCUCGCGUGCCAUUAGGUAGACGGCGGGGUAACGGCCCACCGUGCCGACGAUGGCUAGGGGUUCUGAGAGGAAGGUCCCCCACAUUGGAACUGAGACACGGUCCAGACUCCUACGGGAGGCAGCAGUGAGGAAUAUUGGACAAUGGCCGGAAGGCUGAUCCAGCCAUGCCGCGUGCGGGAGGACGGCCCUAUGGGUUGUAAACCGCUUUUGCGAGGGAGCAAUAAGGUCUACGUGUAGGCUGAUGAGAGUACCUUACGAAUAAGCAUCGGCUAACUCCGUGCCAGCAGCCGCGGUAAUACGAAGGAUGCAAGCGUUAUCCGGAUUUAUUGGGUUUAAAGGGUGCGUANGCGGCUUGGUAAGCGGGAGGUGAAAUGCCGGCGCUCAACG